rnacentral:tRNA from 1 species
GGGCCCAUAGCUCAACGGUAGAGCAGUUCCCUUUUAAGGAAUUGGUUCAGAGUUCGAAUCUCUGUGGGCUCA